GGAAUAUUGGACAAUGGCCGGAAGGCUGAUCCAGCCAUGCCGCGUGCGGGAAGACGGCCCUAUGGGUUGUAAACCGCUUUUGUUGGGGAGCAAUAAGGAGCACGUGUGCUUCGAUGAGAGUACCCAGCGAAUAAGCAUCGGCUAACUCCGUGCCAGCAGCCGCGGUAAUACGGAGGAUGCGAGCGUUAUCCGGAUUUAUUGGGUUUAAAGGGUGCGUAGGCGGACUUUUAAGCGUGAGGUGAAAUGCGCGGGCUCAACCUGUGAACUGCCUCGCGAACUGGGAGUCUUGAAUGUCCGUGCCGUGGGAGGAAUGUGUGGUGUAGCGGUGAAAUGCAUAGAUAUUGCACAGAACACCGAUCGCGAAGGCAGCUGGCGAGGACGGGACCGACGCUGAGGCACGAAGGCGUGGGGAUCGAACA
rnacentral:rRNA from 1 species